rnacentral:rRNA from 1 species
CAGUCGCCGCGGGAAUAUGUAGGUGGCAAGCGUUGUCCGGAAUUAUUGGGCGUAAAGGGCUCGCAGGCGGUUUCUUAAGUCUGAUGUGAAAGCCCCCGGCUCAACCGGGGAGGGUCAUUGGAAACUGGGAAACUUGAGUGCAGAAGAGGAGAGUGGAAUUCCACGUGUAGCGGUGAAAUGCGUAGAGAUGUGGAGGAACACCAGUGGCGAAGGCGACUCUCUGGUCUGUAACUGACGCUUAGGAGCGAAAGCGUGGGGAGCGAACAGGAUUAGAGACCCCUGUAGUCCCUGUCUCUUAUAC